CCGUCGAUAGUUCAGUUGGUAGAGCGGGGGACGGAAGACGAACUCCAAAGUUGAUAUCCAUAGAUCGCUGGUUCAAAUCCGGCUCGACGGA
rfam:Ixodes scapularis strain Wikel colony gcontig_1107728676292, whole genome shotgun sequence.